GGGGAUUUAGUUCAGUGGUAGAGCGUUUGCCUAGCAAGCGCAAGGCCCUGGGUUCGGUCCCCAGCUCCA
rnacentral:tRNA from 1 species